UACGUUCCCGGGUCUUGUACACACCGCCCGUCACGCCACGAAAGUUGGCAACACCCGAAGCCGGUGGCCUAACCCGCAAGGGAGGGAGCCGUCGAAGGUGGGGUUGGCGAUUGGGGUG
rnacentral:rRNA from 1 species